rnacentral:rRNA from 1 species
GAUGAACGCUGGCGGCGCGCCUAACACAUGCAAGUCGAACGGCACCUGCCUUCGGGCAGAAGCGAGUGGCGAACGGCUGAGUAACACGUGGAGAACCUGCCCCCUCCCCCGGGAUAGCCGCCCGAAAGGACGGGUAAUACCGGAUACCCCGGGGUGCCGCAUGGCACCCCGGCUAAAGCCCCGACGGGAGGGGAUGGCUCCGCGGCCCACCAGGUAGACGGCGGGGUGACGGCCCACCGUGCCGACAACGGGUAGCCGGGUUGAGAGACCGACCGGCCAGAUUGGGACUGAGACACGGCCCAGACUCCUACGGGAGGCAGCAGUGGGGAAUCUUGCGCAAUGGGGGGAACCCUGACGCAGCGACGCCGCGUGCGGGACGGAGGCCUUCGGGUCGUAAACCGCUUUCAGCAGGGAAGAGUCAAGACU